UCUGGACAUCAUCAUUAAUUGAAAUUGUUGUUCCCAAAGACACCUGACAUCUUCGUCAACUUAUUAUAUAAGCUGGAACGUUGAGCUUGGUGCUAGCCACUUGACUGCAGCCCUUGAAACCUGGUCGCAGCAUUGACUGAAGAAUUUUGUAAAAGAGAAACUCUUGGACGUUUGAAAGAAUUCACUGAACCAUGUCUUACAAUUUCAUUGCCUUGGUCGUUUUGAUUCUUCACUGUAUCUACGUGAUAUCAGCCUUGGACAGGUACGGUCAGGACGGCUACUACCAGCGUGACCUAGACGGCUAUGGAGGUCUGUACGGAGGUUACCCAAUGAGAUACGGGGGCUAUGGUGGCUACGACCUUCCCUAAAAGUAUAACAAAGUACAACUCUGUCCAGUAAUGUUUCUUAUAACACGUUGUUUCCUAUUGUACUUCUGGAAUGUGAUUUCUUCCCUUAUUCAGGUUUACAUAUAGCAGGUCUAUAGUAUAAGUGUGUGUUCUUAUAAAUAAUCGACUACUCGUCUAAUUUUAUAUGCCAUCUACUUCAUUUGUAUGUCCUGACUUGAUUAUCUCUAAAAGGACAUUAUAUUUAAAUCUGCUUUUUUUUUCUUGUAAAAAAUAUUUCUGUUUAAAAUUUACUUUUUUUUUCUAAUUUAUGACCUAGUAUUAUGUAUAAAUGUAUUUUUUCGCCCAUUAGUAUUUUGUAUAUAAAAAGUCAUAUGGGCUUCUGUAAAAUGUAAACUUUAUUGAUUCGUAGCUUUUCGAAAAAUAAGAAAGUGUUUGUAUUUACUAUUUAUUUAUAUGGAACAAUCAUUCGGUACAAACUUCUUCAGGUGCAUGAAUGGUUGUUUAUUGGGUAAUGCUUGCUUCAAAUGAGUCUUGUUGUACACACUUUUAUUUACUAAUUAUCCUAUUGCUCACACUAAUGCGCUCAAGUACUCUGUUUAAAAACAUUUGUAUCAAAUAUCUAUCUUGGUUAAUUCUACUUGAAUGAACGAAUAUUAUAAAUGACUAAUCUAAAUGAGUAAUAAAGCUCAAUAGAAAUCAAA